GUAGGUGAACCUGCGGUUGGAUCAUUAGAAAAUGUAUGACAUCCGGUUAGUGCGGUUUGAAAAAACCGUAUCUGAUCGGCUUCCGUGGCGCUUUUGGCUUUUAUGGCAAUUGUUUGUUAGCCCGGGUUUCCUUCUGUGGAUCAACUUGGGAGUUAUCAUAUCGCUCUUGCGGAACAAGUCAUUGCGCCAUGGUCGAGUCAAAACUCCUAUGUGCAACGUUUGGGGUUUGGUUGGAAAGCGCGAGGUUUUACCGCACGCCGAAAACCAUUUUCCCAUUCCACUAUUUUAUAAUUUGUCUAACUUUAUUUAAUAUAUAAUAUUAAAACAACUUUUGGCAACGGAUCUCUUGGCUCUC
rnacentral:misc_RNA from 1 species